rnacentral:rRNA from 1 species
AUGGGCGGAAGCCUGAUCCAGCCAUGCCGCGUGAAGGAAUAAGGUCCUAUGGGUGCGUAAACUUCUUUUGACGCAGAGCAAUAAGGGACACGCGUGUUCCGAUGAGAGUAUGCGUCGAAUAAGCAUCGGCUAACUCCGUGCCAGCAGCCGCGGUAAUACGGAGGAUGCGAGCGUUAUCCGGAUUUAUUGGGUUUAAAGGGUGCGUAGGCUGUUGGAUAAGUCAGCGGUGAAAUCACCACGCUUAACGUGUUGUGUGCCGUUGAAACUGUCUGGCUUGAAUGCGCUCGUCGUGAGAGGAAUGUGUGGUGUAGCGGUGAAAUGCAUAGAUAUCACACAGAACACCGAUUGCGAAGGCAUCUCACGAGGGCGCUAUUGACGCUGAUGCACGAAAGCGCGGGUAUCGAACAGGAUUAGAUACCCUGGUAGUCCGCGCUGUAAACGAUGAUGACUAACCGUUGGUCUGGUAUGGAUCAGUGGUCAAGCGAAAGCGUUAAGUCAUCCACCUGGGGAGUACGGCCGCAGGCUGAACUCAA